AUUGAACGCUGGCGGCAUGCCUUACACAUGCAAGUCGAACGGCAGCACGGGGCAACCUGGUGGCGAGUGGCGAACGGGUGAGUAAUACAUCGGAACGUGCCCAGUCGUGGGGGAUAACGUAGCGAAAGUUACGCUAAUACCGCAUACGAUCUAAGGAUGAAAGCGGGGGAUCGCAAAACCUCGCGCGAUUGGAGCGGCCGAUGUCAGAUUAGGUAGUUGGUGGGGUAAAGGCUCACCAAGCCAACGAUCUGUAGCUGGUCUGAGAGGACGACCAGCCACACUGGGACUGAGACACGGCCCAGACUCCUAUGGGAGGCAGCAGUGGGGAAUUUUGGACAAUGGGCGCAAGCCUGAUCCAGCAAUGCCGCGUGCAGGAAGAAGGCCUUCGGGUUGUAAACUGCUUUUGUACGGAGCGAAAAGGCUCCCUCUAAUACAGGGGGCUCAUGACGGUACCGUAAGAAUAAGCACCGGCUAACUACGUGCCAGCAGCCGCCGUAACAC
rnacentral:rRNA from 1 species